rnacentral:rRNA from 1 species
CGAAGAACUUUNCCUACUCUUGACAUCCAGAGAAGCCAGNGGAGACGCAGGUGUGCCUUCGGGANCUNUGAGACAGGUGCUGCAUGGCUGUCGUCAGCUCGUGUUGUGAAAUGUUGGGUUAAGUCCCGCAACGAGCGCAACCCUUAUCCUUGUUUGCCAGCGAGUAAUGUCGGGAACUCCAGGGAGACUGCCGGUGAUAAACCGGAGGAAGGUGGGGACGACGUCAAGUCAUCAUGGCCCUUACGAGUAGGGCUACACACGUGCUACAAUGGCGCAUACAGAGGGCAGCAAGCUAGCGAUAGUGAGCGAAUCCCAAAAAGUGCGUCGUAGUCCGGAUUGGAGUCUGCAACUCGACUCCAUGAAGUCGGAAUCGCUAGUAAUCGUGAAUCAGAAUGUCACGGUGAAUACGUUCCCGGGCCUUGUACACACCGCCCGUCACACCAUGGGAGUGGGCUGCAAAAGAAGUGGGUUAGUUUAACCUUCGGGGAGGACNCUC